GUGUCAGCCGCCGCGGUAAAACGUAGGAGGCGAGCGUUAUCCGGAUUUACUGGGCGUAAAGCGCACGCAGGCGGCUCUGUAAGUUGGACGUGAAAGCUCCCGGCUUAACCGGGAGAGGUCGUUCGAUACUGCGGGGCUUGAGGUUGGGAGAGGGGUGCGGAAUUCCCGGUGUAGUGGUGGAAUGCGUAGAUAUCGGGAGGAACACCAGUGGCGCAAGCGGCGCCCUGGCCCACACCUGACGCUGAGGUGCGAAAGCGUGGGUAGCAAACAGGAUUAGAAACCCUAGUAGUCC
rnacentral:rRNA from 1 species